CCUCCUUUCUUGGCAGGGAUUGGUGUGUGGUCCCGGUUGCAUAACGUACAGAGGCAGAGGGAAAGCGCCCUGGGUCCCUUGGCAUCAUGUCUUCGGCACCGCAGCUUCAGGCACCAGGACAAAG
rnacentral:snoRNA from 1 species